rnacentral:rRNA from 1 species
CUCAGUGAAAUUGAAAUCGCUGUGAAGAUGCAGUGUACCCGCGGCUAGACGGAAAGACCCCGUGAACCUUUACUACAGCUUGGCACUGAACAUUGAACCUACAUGUGUAGGAUAGGUGGGAGACUUUGAAACCGCGUCGCUAGAUGUGGUGGAGUCGUCCUUGAAAUACCACCCUUGUAGUUUUGAUGUUCUAACGUUGG